GUACCUGCACAUAUUGGAAUAGAGGGUAAUGAGUUGCAGAAAAGUUGGCAAAAAAAGGCACUAAAGGGUAAUAUAUUAGAUAUAGAUGUGUCAUUAGGUAGGGGAGAAAUGAAAUCAAUAAUUAAAAAUACAAUAUUAAAUAAGUGGCAAAGGGAAUGGGAUUCAGGUAAAUAAGGAAGACAUUACUAUAAUGUUCAACCAAUAUGAGAGAGCAAACACAAUAUUGGACAGAAUAGAAGAGAGGACGUCCGGCCGGGAUUUCUAAAUUUGUGAAAAUGUCCGGGAUUCGGCUUUAGUUGCAUUAUGAUGUGCAUCUGGUCUAAUACUACAUUGUGUGUGCGUGCAUAUUUGAAUUGCUUUAACCCCUCUUUGUAAGUCCCGCCUGCUCGCACACCAGUUGGUCGAUUAUAAGAGGCUUGCAGCGACUAUUGGCCAAAUUCCUGCCUGUCAAUCUCUCCGCGAACGCGCGAAGCGCUGUUGUGUUCAGCAUCAAACAGUUGAUUGACAGUAGUAGCCAAUGACAGCUGAGUGGAAACAAUGCCCAAACGAAAGUGCAAAUUUACAGAAGAUUUGCACAAAAAUUCCCAUGCUUUCAUCCAGGUCAAGAUCUGUGGGAAGCAGAAUGUAUGACAUGUAAAGCUGGCACUUAUGUGUCAGUUGCUAAUAAAGAUGCAAGUGAUUUAGAAGCACACAUUAGCUCUGCGAAGCAUAAAGGGUCAGCAAAAGGUGAAAGUUCAUCAGGUAAAUUAACAGACUACUUUUUGUGACCAGGUAGAAUUGUUAUCGCAUUGCUUCAUUUUCCAUGGCCAUUCAAAAUAAUAGUAAUAGUAAAUGAAGGUACACUCAUGGCAUCAAAUAGUAUAUUUUAGUACAUGGACAUUCAAAAGAAUGUUGGAACCUUAAAAUGUUAGGUUCUUUUUUCUACCCAAACGCUGGGUUGAGCCGUUUGGGUCAUUUUAAUGGGUUAUUUUCUCAGUGUUGGGUAGUUUUUGUGUAACCCAGUCGCUGGGUUAGAUGUUGGGUCAUUUUCACUGACAGUUGAAAAAGUGCACCCCUCCCCCACCCCGACGUAUCAGCCCAACUCCUGUCUCAAAUCAGCUCAACUCUUUAGUUACCUGACACGGGAUUUUUGAAUCGCCUCAGGAAGGAGCGGUUUUCAGCGAGGACAAAUUGUUGGAUUUGUUUGGAGAAACGAGAUUUCACAAGACUUCUCAUGUUGAUCCCCGACCAUGCAGAGAGGCUAUUUGCAACGUGGACCUUGAGUUUUAAAGACAAAAUAUAAGGCUCAGGAGCUUCUCUCCAACAUAGACAAUUUGCCUCCAGAAGCCCAAGGUGAUGUUGCACUCAGACUGCUUCCUGUGAUCUUGCCAACCCCUGUCUACAAAAGUGGGAAGAAAAUGUUCAAACCAAAUUUGGAAGAAAAUGUGAAGUCUUUCAUUGAAUUCAAGCAUCAGGUUGGGACCAACGUUGUUGAAUACUUGGGGGAGGCUGAGAUCGCUAAACCCAUCCCCUUUGUUGCUGGCAGACAUGCACUACAGCAAAACACUCUCCUUGGUGCUGUGGACACAUGCUUUAAACUUUUUUAUAUUUUGGACAUUCAUUUCCCAAAGCAGUGUGCACCAGUGUGGGAGUUUCUGCAGACCGUUGUCUACAAACUCCCAGGAACAGAAUCCCCUUCAGUAAGACUGCUGCGUGGUUAUUUGUCAUGCUAAGCAGUACUGGAACCACAACAUUUGUUAUGUGAGUUUGUAUAAAGAAGAAAGUUGUCAAACCUACCUUAAUAAUUUUUAUAUAUAUCUUAGUCUUUUUAGCUGUCUGAUGCUCCACUAUCUUCACCAGCUGGUUGCAGACUUAAAUUUGACCAAGCUGAUAAUGCAUUUGUAUAUUUGUGCCACUGUGUUCUUCUGCAACUUUAUGUUUACCUUAUUGUAGUAAUGUUAAUGUACUUUUGAAACAAAGCUAUUAAUGUAUUUUUUUUUUUUUUUUUAAGAUUUGUGAACAGAAAUUUGAUGAAUU